AUAAACAUCGGUUGAUGUCAAGGCGCCCAGGAGGAAAUCGGUUAUGUCUCCAUGGACACGGUUGGUGUAAGAUACAUGACCACUUUCUCAUCCGCCUCAACUUCCAGUUCAUGGGUGCCAACGUCAUCAGCACUCUUUACUUGGAAGUCGCACACGUUGAAAGAAUUACAUGUACUGGUCGUGCGUGUUCUCAUCUCCAGCUACGGCCGCAGCUAUGGCGGUCUCAUCACCAUAUGUUUUACUAGGGCAUUGCAGCGGUGGGUGUGAGCAUGCUGUUCGUUGGAAUGUAGGAGUUCUAGGAAGACCUGCUUUGUGCUCGCGACCGUGUGCACAAGCUACGGGGGGUGCACCAGGUGGCUGAGAUUGUGACCGGGUGCCAGGGGCUUCAAAACUGGAGCAUGGACCUCAUCUCCUUGCUGCCGUAAUAAUUGGCCACAAUACUAGAAAGUCUGCUCCAAAUGUUUUAUUCUUCUUGAUACUAGCAAGUGCUCUUCCUCAUAUACCGAAGUGACCUCCUAUUAUGUAAAGACCUUUCUUCUUCCCCAAGACAAGUUCAAGGGUAUGAAUUGUUCUAAAAAUUGUUCUAUGAAA